AAGUCGUAACAAGGUUUCCGUAGGUGAACCUGCGGAAGGAUCAUUCUUGUACUUGGCUCUACAGCCAAUCAACAACAACAACUGUGUGAACUGUACCUUUGACCGGUUGUCAAAGAUUAACUUGGCAGAAGGCGGAGAAUGAGAGCUCUGCAAAGGACUUUUAUUCUUGCGCGCUGUCGUCGGUACUUUGACGACCACAAUUUGACGUACUCUUGAAUCUAUCGAACUUAAACACAUCUAUAUACCAAAUACAACUUUUAGCAACGGAUCUCUAGGCUCUC
rnacentral:misc_RNA from 1 species